UUGUUUUUUAAUAAAAAAUGUUUUCCAGACAUUGCUAUUGGAGUCCUGCCAAUUGGUUUAUGUUUUUAUUGUAGUAUGGUACUUAAACUGAACACAUUACCUUGGAAGCGUUUUUUUUAUUUAUUAAUAAAGCCAACAUUUUGCUUCCUGUGUCUUAUAAGAAUUUAUCUUUUUUAGUUUUUGUUUUUAUCUUUUAAGAGCAUUCUCUUCGUUAUAUUUAGAUAUACUGCUUGAGAAAAAGAGUUGUUACUCUGGAAUUUUCUGGAUGUAGCCUCUUCUGUAGUUUGCUACAGCUCUCAUCUGGUUUGUGUAUGUAGCUUUUAUGCCACAUUUGAACCUGGUAACAUACAGCAACCAGGAAUGCUGAGAGAGUCCCUCAGCUGCAGUGAUGUAGGUUCUGCAACAAAUUCCUUGUUCUUACAGGACUCUCACUCAGGUAGUUCAAUUUUCAGAAGAGUGCACUGCCCAGAGAGUCUUCUGAUUUUACUGUUUCAGCACUCUAAAAAUCAAGGUACAUGGUGAGGAUCCAGUACAAGGAUCAUUAACCACAGGUCUCUUUAGUGGUCCUUUUAGAAGCUGCAGCAUAAACUCCUAUUGAAAGCUCCUCUAAAAUCUCAAAGCAUGACUAAAAGUCAUUGCUAGAGAAAAACUAAAAACUGAUUUCAUUUUUCUCUUUUCCAGUUAGCCAAUUUGAUUCUGAUGAAAUUGAGGUAUUGACAGCUGAUUUCAUGAUUUAUAAAAUGAGAAGCUGCCUCAAAACUAAUGAAUUUGUGACCACUCCAUCUAUCACUUACCUACUUCCCUCCUGAGCCAGUCUUGACUACAGACCAGCUGACAGAGGGAAGCUCUUUUUGUGAUAGUAUGAGCAAAUAUGCAUAGAAAUAAGAAAGGUCCAUCAGAGAUGUAAUUUUCAUGUUCUGGACAGGGGAGGCUUUAAGCAUUUUCUUACAUAAAGAACUCAGAUUCUAGAAUAAGCUGUACAGCAAUACUGGUCUUGAUUUUUUAUUUUUUUUUUAAUAAUGGAAAAUUUUGUUCCGUAAGAAAGAGAUUAUAUCCUUCAAAUAUUUCUAGAGUCCUUGAAAGAAAAACCUUGCUGGGAUGCCGGUAAGAAGGGAACUUUAUAAACCUGUGCAAAUCACUGUCCUUGCUCAAAUCUCUUGUAAAAAGUUGAAGAUGCACUGAUAUCUACCAAAAAAAAAAAAAGAUCAACAACAGGACAAACUCCCAGUUUGCUGUGAUUCUUGCCUGUCAUGAUGCCAAUACUCUGUCUCACUGUUAUUUCCCUAAUCUGUCCAUCCUUAUCUGCUGUAUCUCAUCUAAUGUGCAGAUGUUAGGCUCUGUGGGACAGUGUCCUGGUUUUUAUACUAUGAUUGUGCUUGGGAUGUCCCAUGAAAUAUAUCAAAAGGUGCUACAGCAAUAUGACUGAUAGCAAUCCUCCUGUUGCCUGUUUUCUGUAGUUCUGCCAUGCAGCCAAUGUACUCCCAAAUUGUUCUCAAUCAGAAAUGAUUUCAGCACGAGAAAUUCCUUCAGUUACAUUGCGUAGGAAAAUAUGAUCUUUCACAGUAAUCUUCUUUACACUACUGCAAUCUGUUGUAAUUGAACAAGGCUGCUUAUGACCAAGACCCUGAGCAUCUCAGUUUCUCUCUGAGUUUGGACCUGUUUUGGCUGAGGGAAGGACCAGGAAACCUCAGGAGGAUUCUUCCACUCCAAAUUAUCACAUAUUUUUCAAGGUAAGGUCAUGAAUCCGAGAACAAAUAUGAUACAUAAGGAAAAAUGCCUGUUUCACAUCUUAACAACUUUCAAAUUAUCUAACUUCUACUGUAUAAGAUACUG